ACGGGCAUAGUUCAAUGGUAGAAUAGAGGUCUCCAAAACCUUCGAUCUGGGUUCAAAUCCUAGUGCCCGUG
rnacentral:tRNA from 1 species